UACAGAGGGCGCGGGCGUUAAUCGGAAUUACUGGGCGUAAAGCGUGCGUAGGCGGUCGUGUAAGUGGGGUGUGAAAGCCCCGGGCUCAACCUGGGAAUUGCAUUCGAGACUGCACGGCUGGAGUGCGGAAGAGGGAAGCGGAAGUUCCGGUGUAGCGGUGAAAUGCGUAGAUAUCGGAAGGAACAUCAGUGGCGAAAGCGGCUUCCUGGUCCAGCACUGACGCUCAGGCACGAAAGCGUGGGGAGCAAACAGG
rnacentral:rRNA from 1 species